CAGGUUUUUCUGCAUGGGUACCCGUAGCUGCUCUGUUCCUGGUUUAGAGGAGAAGGGGGAGGCAGUCGCGGCGCAUGCUGGAGGCUGGAGCUUGAGUUGGCUCGCCUCGCUGCUGCGGUUCCUGGCGGUGAGGGAGGCUACAGCACAGCCAGAAUGGUAAAAAGCUGGCGGAAUAGGUUCAUUAUCCCGGGAUGUACCGUCAGUGCUUUCCCGCCCCCGCACCGACCCGGAGGGGUCAUGAAGUUCCUGGCUCCCACCCAGAGUGCGUGUCUCUCCCUCCGGGGGUACCUCAAAGCGUCAAGAAGUUCCCAGGGAACGGGGUCAGGCGCCCAGGGUUCCAGGGAGAGUUUGAAGCAGGCUGCGGAGAAAAAGCGGCGAGGCCGAAGAAGAGGCUGGGUUCCCGUGAUGGAGGCUUGGCACUUGCCCUCAAAAAAGAUGGCGCGGAAGACCUCACGCGCCUCACGCGACCUGACCGCAGGACUCCUGCGCGGCUCAUAUCCCCGCACAGGGCGGCCGAGAGGGGAGGAGGAAGCAUGGACUGGAGGGCGGGUGUGGCCGGGGAGGCUCUUGGCAGCUGUUGUGUGGCUGCGCUGCUGGAGCUGCCGGGCGGGCGGGAUGCUGUACCCCCGGAGGAGACCCUCGCAGGAGCGCCAGGAGCUGGACGGCCUCUGGAGCUUCCGCGCCGACUUCUCCGACAGCGGAUACAGGGACUUCGAGGAGCAGAGGUACUGGCGACCGUUGCGGGAGGCGCGGGCUCAGGGCAGGGCCAGGAGGCGCCCGGAAGCCCGGCGGUGGGAAUGGGGUGAGCCCCGGCGCCCCGCAGUCUCCUUCACCUGAGCGUCCCGGAGGUAUCCCAAGGGUUACUUUGUCCAGAACACAGACUGACUUCUUCAACUACACGAGACUGGAGCGGUCUGUGGUUGUAUACACAACACCAACUACCUGCAUCGAUGACAUCACCAUCACCACCGGCGUGGAGCAAGAUAGUGGUGAGGGCUUCUGGUGGGAUCCUCCCUCAGCAGGGCCCGGGGUGGCUCUGUUUGUUCCCUGUUUGGAAAGCUCUCCCAGGAAAAAGGUUCUUUCAGCAUCUCUAAAUCCUCACAGGUUCCCAUCCACCUACAAAGCUAAAAUGCAGGCUGUCUCAGCGGGCACUAAAAUCCAGGCUGUCUGAGCGGGCACGGGCUCCCGAGAUCACUCAUGUGGUUGAUCUCUCUUGGAGAAGAGGGUCUGGCCUAAGGUCACAUAGCUCAGGGUGGCAGUCCUGUCCCUUCCCCACGGUGCUGCUCUCACUCUAGCUCCCCUUGAUACACAUCGUGUUCAAGGAACAGGCAGCUUUGGGGGGCUGGGUGCGGUGGCUCACAUCUGUCAUCCUAGCUCUUUGUAAGGAGGACUUGGUAGGAGGAUCACUUCAGGUCAAGAGUUCAAGACCAGCCUGGGCAACAUAGCGAGACCAUCACCACAAAAAAUUAAAAAAUUUGCUAGGCAUGGUGAUGCGUGCCAGUAGUCCCAGCUGCUGAGGCAGGAGAAUCAGUUGAGCCUGGGAGGUCAAGGGUGCAGUGAGCUGUGACUGCAUCACUGCACUCUGGUCUGGGCAACAGAGGGAGACCCUGUCUUUUUAAUUUUUAUUUGUUUUUGAGCUGGAGUCUCACUCUGUAGGAGUGCAGACUGGAGGGCACUGGUGCAAUCUUGGGCUCACUGCAACCUCCGCCUCCCAAGUUCAAGUGAUUCUCCUGCCUCAGCUUCCCAAGUAGCUGGGAUUACAGGCAUCUUCCACCACAUCCAGCUAACUUUUUAAUGUUUUUUAGUAGAGAUGGGGUUUCACCAUGUUGGCCUGGUUGGUCUUGAACUCCUGACCUCAGAUGAUCCACCCGCCUGGGCCUCCCAAAGUGCAGGGAUUACAGGUAUGAGCCUCCGUGCAUGGCUGGGAUACCCUUUCUUUAAGAAAAAUUUAAAAAAAAAUUGUUUUAAAUGUAUAUUUUUCCUUUUGUGAGAGGAGGCCCUGCACUGUCGCCCAGGCUGGAUGGCAGUGGUGUGAUGAUUGACAGCUGUUGUGGGGCCGCAGUUGUAAGUUUCAAAGAAUUUAGGCUGGGUGUGGCGGCUAAUGCCUGUCAUCCUAGCACUUUGGGAGGCCACGGUGGCUGGAUUGCUUGGGAUUGCUUGAGCUCAAAAGUUCAAGACCAGCCUGGGCAACAUAGUAAGACCCUGUCUCAAAAAGAAUAAAGAAUUUAAAUAAAUAAAAAAGAAUUUAAAU
ensembl:lncRNA